CCGGCCUACGGGAGGCAGCAGUGGGGGAUAUUGCACGAUGGGGGAAACCCUGAUGCAGCGACGCCGCGUGAGUGAAGAAGUAUUUCGGUAUGUAAAGCUCUAUCAGCAGGGAAGAAAAUGACGGUACCUGACUAAGGAGCCCCGGCUAACUACGUGCCAGCAGCCGCGGUAAUACAUAGGGGGCAAGCGUUAUCCGGAUUUACUGGGUGUAAAGGGAGCGUAGACGGCGCGGCAAGUCUGAAGUGAAAGGCAGGGGCUUAACCCCUGAACUGCUUUGGAAACUGCCAUGAUAGAGGUCUGGAGAG
rnacentral:rRNA from 1 species